GGCUGUUCGGCGGUCCUCGCGCGCUGGCCAUCAGGUGAGCAGGGCGGUGGGCGCGGCCGCGGUCCCCCACGUGCCCGCCCGAGCCGCCGCCCACCUGCCCGCCUUUCGCCCUGCAGGCGCUGCUGACGCUGCCGCUCCUCUUCCUGGGGCUGUCGCUGCUCUGGACGGUGCUGUUGGACCCCGGCGCCGUCUCCGCGUGGCUCUGGAGCCUCACCUCGGAGACGACGCUGCGCCGCCUGCGCUACACGCUGUCCCCGCUGCUGGAGCUGCGCGCUAACGGGCUGCUGCCAACCUAAGUGCAGCGCCCCGCGCCUGGCUCCAGGUGGACUCCAGGGCACCGGCUUUAUUUCUGGUGCACUCCUCUCCUGAGAGUGUAGACCAAGGUCGCCUAAUAAACUCCUCAAGGGAUGAAGCUCGUGGGUUCGUCGUCUGUCUCCCAUGUCAUGUAGGAGCUUGACUGGCUUUUCAGCCUCCAAAGAUUCCUUCCUUUCUUACAGCUCAUGGAUUUAGAUCCACUCCCCAGUAUUGUAAACAGCAUUUUUAGUUUUUCAGGAUACAUAAUUUGCCAUAUUGCCAGAAACUUGUACAUAGCAUUUGACACUUUUUUCUUUGCCAAUUUGACAAGCUGCUUUUUUCAAGUAUUGUGAUUUGAAAUUAUUUCUACUAUAUUUGAAUUUAUUUCUACCAUUUGUAACAUGUUGAUCCUGAUUUUUCAAUGCUCCCCUUUCCUUCUGUUUGAUUAUUUGGGAAGUCACACUCUGUAUUCUGGUAUUCUUACUACUUGAGCUCAGCUCAUUGCUGUCAUCUUCCCCUAAACCGCCUUAAAGCAUCUUAGGUCUUUUCCCUCUGAUCACAUGUGCUACUUUUUUUUUUUUUCUUUUCUUUUGAGAUGGAGUCUUGCUCUGCGCCCAGGCUGGAGUGCAGUGGCAUGAUCUCGGCUCACUGCAAGCUCUGCCUCCCGGGUUCCAGCGAUUCUCCUGCCUCAGCCUCCCAAGUAGCUGGGACUUCAGGCGCCUGCCAUCAUGCCCGUUUAAUUUUUUGUAUUUUUAGUAGAGACAGAGUUUCACUGUGUUAGCCAGGAUGGUCUCGAUCUCCUGACCUCGUGAUCCGCCCACCUUGGCCUCCCCAAAGUGCUGGGAUUACAGGCAUGAGCCACCGUGCCUGGCCAACAUUUUCUCCAGAUAUCUUACCGAGUCCUAAUUUCCACUGCGGACAGAGAAUACACUCUGCGUGAUUUUAAUUCUAUCUCAUUUACUGAGACUUGUUUUGUGGCCCAGCACAAAGCUUGUAAUGAACAUUGAGAAGAAAGUGUAUUGUUGCUGUUGACAGAGUGAUUUUUUUUUUGAGACGGAGUCUCGCUCUGUCGCCAGGCUGGAGUAUAGUGGUGUGCAAUCUCGGCUCACUCCAACCUCCACCUCCUGGGUUCAAGUGAUUGUCCUGCCUCAGCCUCCCGAGUAGCUGGGACUACAGAUGCAUGCCACCAUGCCCAGCUAAUUUUUGUAUUUUUAGCAGAGACAGGGUUUCACUGUGUUGGCCAGGAUGGUCUUGAUCUCUUGACAUUGUGAUCCGCCUGGCUUGGCCUCCCAAAGUGCUGGGAUUACAGGUAUGAGCCACCGUGUCAGGCCGACAGAGUGUGUUCUAAAUACCCAGCAGGUCAAGGUGAGUGACAGGCUUGUUCAGGGCUCCUGUGUUUACUUUCUUGUUGGUAGCGCCGUCAAUUGCUUAUUGUGAAAUGCCCCUUCAUAAACACCCAUACACAUUUUGAUUAUGGAUGGCCCGUCUUUUUUCCAUCUGUUAUUUUCAUCUUAGAUCUGUCUUCAUAUGUAAAGUGCUUUGGUUAUAAUCAGCACAUAACUGGGUCUCACUUCUUCAAUUCAUGUUUAUAAUCCCUGACUUUUAAAUUGGGCUGGUAAGUCUAUUAUGUUUCUCCUUUUCUGCCUUCUUUUGGAUUAGUAUCUUUUAAAACUCCUUUUAACUUAUACGCUGACUCAUAUUUUUUAUUAAGACAGUCUCACUCUGUCAUUCAGUGUGGAGUGCAAUGGUGUGAUCUUGGCUCACUGCAACCUCCACCUCCCGGGCUCAAGCGAUCCACCUCAGCUUCCUGAGUAGCUGGGACUACGGGCUUGUGCCACCAUGCCCGGAUAAUUGUUGUAUUUUUUGUAGAGAUGGGGUCUUGCCAUGUUGCUCAGGCUGUUUUCAAACUGCUGGACUCCAGCAAUCCACCCACCUCAGCCUCCGAAAGUGCUGGGAUUACACAUGUGAGCCACUGUGCCCAGCCUAUAUUUUUAUUUGUACUGCUCAGGACUCAACUGUGCUUCCUAAAGCUGAAUAUUUGUCUUUUUCAACUCUGGAAAUCCCAUUAGAAAUUGAUUGGGGCCGGGCACGGUGGCUCCAAUCUCAGCACUUUGGGAGGCCGAGGCGAGCAGAUCACCUGAAGCCAGGAGUUCAAGAUCAGCCUGGCCAACAUGACGAAACCCCUUCUCUUCUAAAAGUACAAAAAUUAAUUAGCUGGGUGUGGUGGCGUGCAGCUGAAAUCCCAGCUACUUAGGAGGCUGAGGUAGGAGAAUUGCUUGAACCUGGGAGAGAGGUUGCAGUGAGCAGAGAUCACGCCACUGCACUCCAGCCUGGGCGACAGAGUGAGACU
rnacentral:lncRNA from 10 species